CCUUCUUUGCUGGCGACCGGCGCACGGGUGAGUAACACGUAUCCAACCUGCCCUUUACUCGGGGAUAGCCUUUCGAAAGAAAGAUUAAUACCCGAUAGCAUAAUGAUUCCGCAUGGUUUCAUUAUUAAAGGAUUCCGGUAAAGGAUGGGGAUGCGUUCCAUUAGGUUGUUGGUGAGGUAACGGCCCACCAAGCCUUCGAUGGAUAGGGGUUCUGAGAGGAAGGUCCCCCACAUUGGAACUGAGACACGGUCCAA
rnacentral:rRNA from 1 species